rnacentral:rRNA from 1 species
AUUGAACGCUGGCGGCAUGCUUUACACAUGCAAGUCGAACGGUAACAGGCCGCAAGGUGCUGACGAGUGGCGAACGGGUGAGUAAUGCAUCGGAACGUGCCCAGUCGUGGGGGAUAACUACUCGAAAGAGUAGCUAAUACCGCAUACGAUCUAUGGAUGAAAGCGGGGGACCGUAAGGCCUCGCGCGAUUGGAGCGGCCGAUGUCAGAUUAGGUAGUUGGUGGGGUAAAGGCUCACCAAGCCAACGAUCUGUAGCUGGUCUGAGAGGACGACCAGCCACACUGGGACUGAGACACGGCCCAGACUCCUACGGGAGGCAGCAGUGGGGAAUUUUGGACAAUGGGCGCAAGCCUGAUCCAGCAAUGCCGCGUGCAGGAAGAAGGCCUUCGGGUUGUAAACUGCUUUUGUACGGAACGAAACGGCUCUGGUUAAUACCCGGGGUUAAUGACGGUACCGUAAGAAUAAGCACCGGCUAACUACGUG